rnacentral:rRNA from 1 species
GCCAGACUCCUACGGGAGGCAGCAGUGAGGAAUAUUGGUCAAUGGGCUUACGCCUGAACCAGCCAAGUCGCGUGAGGGAAGACUGCCCUAUGGGUUGUAAACCUCUUUUGUCAGGGAGCAACGCCGGCUACGUGUAGCCGGACUGAGAGUACCUGAAGAAAAAGCAUCGGCUAACUCCGUGCCAGCAGCCGCGGUAAUACGGAGGAUGCGAGCGUUAUCCGGAUUUAUUGGGUUUAAAGGGUGCGUAGGCGGAAUAUCAAGUCAGCGGUAAAAAUUCGGGGCUCAACCCCGUCGUGCCGUUGAAACUGGUGUUCUUGAGUGGGCGAGAAGUAUGCGGAAUGCGUGGUGUAGCGGUGAAAUGCAUAGAUAUCACGCAGAACUCCGAUUGCGAAGGCAGCAUACCGGGGCCCAACUGACGCUGAAGCCCGAAA